rnacentral:tRNA from 1 species
GGCUGGAUGGCAGAGUGGUUAUGCAGCGGACUGCAACUCCGUGUAGAUCGGUUCGAUUCCGUUUCCAGCCUCCA